rnacentral:rRNA from 1 species
CAGCAGCCACGGUAAUACGUAGGUGGCAAGCGUUGUCCGGAAUUAUUGGGCGUAAAGGGCUCGCAGGCGGUUUCUUAAGUCUGAUGUGAAAGCCCCCGGCUCAACCGGGGAGGGUCAUUGGAAACUGGGAAACUUGAGUGCAGAAGAGGAGAGUGGAAUUCCACGUGUAGCGGUGAAAUGCGUAGAGAUGUGGAGGAACACCAGUGGCGAAGGCGACUCUCUGGUCUGUAACUGACGCUGAGGAGCGAAAGCGUGGGGAGCGAACAGGAUUAGAUACCCCGGUAGUCCCUGUUUCUUAUAC